rnacentral:misc_RNA from 1 species
UCCGAGUUGACCCCGGCAGUCUCCUAUGGGUUCCCACCAUUACGCGCUGGCAACAUAAGAUAAGGGUUGCGCUCGUUGCGGGACUUAACCCAACAUCUCACGACACGAGCUGACGACAGCCAUGCACCACCUGCACACAGGCCACAAGGAAAUGCCUAUCUCUAGACACGUCCUGUGCAUGUCAAACCCAGGUAAGGUUCUUCGCGUUGCAUCGAAUUAAUCCACAUGCUCCGCCGCUUGUGCGGGCCCCCGUCAAUUUCUUUGAGUUUUAGCCUUGCGGCCGUACUCCCCAGGCGGGGUACUUAAUGCGUUAGCUUCGACACUGAGAGCCUAGUUGCUCCCAACGUCCAGUUCGCAUCGUUUAGGGCGUGGACUAC